rnacentral:rRNA from 1 species
AUUGAACGCCGGCGGCAGGCUUAACACAUGCAAGUCGAGCGAGGGAAGGUAGCUUGCUACCGGACCUAGCGGCGGACGGGUGAGUAAUGCUUAGGAAUCUGCCUAUUAGUGGGGGGCAACAUCUCGAAAGGGAUGCUAAUACCGCAUACGUCCUACGGGAGAAAGCAGGGGAUCUUCGGACCUUGCGCUAAUAGAUGAGCCUAAGUCGGAUUAGCUAGUUGGUGGGGUAAAGGCCUACCAAGGCGACGAUCUGUAGCGGGUCUGAGAGGAUGAUCCGCCACACUGGGACUGAGACACGGCCCAGACUACUACGGGAGGCAGCAGUGGGGAAUAUUGGACAAUGGGGGGAACCCUGAUCCAGCCAUGCCGCGUGUGUGAAGAAGGCCUUAUGGUUGUAAAGCACUUUAAGCGAGGAGGAGGCUACUUUAGUUAAUACCCAAGAUGAGUGGACGUUACUCGCAGAAUAAGCACCGGCUAACUCUGUGCCAGCCGCCGCGGUAA